UUUUCAUGUUUGGGUUUCCUAAGUGAGAGGAAGCAACUGAAAGAAAGGGAACAGCUGGCUGGAAGAGCCACCCUGAGAGUCGGGCACUGCGGCUGGAGGGGAUUGCAGAGGCAAAGCUAGACUAGGUCUUGGAAGCUGGUGUAAGGCGGUGCGCGGAAGGCAGGACGCUGAUGGGAGAGACUGGUCGAAGAAAAGCCGAAAUGGAUUCUCCGUGCCUUGGAUGGAGAAAGAGGGGGGAAGUGCGAGCUCCUUCAACUCGUUCUGUCCGGUGAGGAGUGAUCCAGCUUGGGCUGACGAGAGGCUCCGGAGCCUUCACGUUCAGUGCUUUUUACCUGCCAAUCAAACUGCUACAAGACAACACCCUGAUCUGGCAUGGUCGCGCGCAUCGAACCUAGAAAUUGUACUCUCCUCAAUCCGCUUAAGAGAAUCUGGCUGAUGGCUUUGGUCUGAGAGUUCAGACAUCUCUUGUGCAGCUAAGAAAGACCUCAUUUUCCAUUUGCUGGAUCCUCCUGGUUUGUCAUCCCUGAAUCCUGUAAGAAGGUCAUCAGGAGGUCCCCUGCGCUAGAAGGACCAUGUGAGUUCAUCCCAGAUGAUGGGUGGCACCAUGGUUUUAGCAGCUCACACAGUGGAGAACCACAUUCGCUCUGGAAGAGCUUGGCAACAUGUAUUUGGUAACAGAACAAGGUCAGCUUGAGCUCUAUCCUUCUGUGGCUAUACUGAACAAAAGGAGAGAGAAAGGAAGAGAGAGAGACAGAGGCAGAGACAGGCAGAGACAGGCAGACAGAGACAGAGACAGAAACAGAGAAAUGAUUCCUGAAUUAUUUUUAAAAAUUAAUUUUAAAAUUCAGACCAAUUAAUCAGUAAUACAUGCCUGUAGUCUCAGCCUAGAACAGAUCAAACAGGAAAGUCUCAAGACUAAGGUCAGCCUGGACCACUGGAGAGUUUCAAAGAAAACAAAUUACCAUUUGGGCAUAAUGGCACACACCUUUUAAUUCCAGUCCUUGGGAAGCAGAGGCAAGUAGGUCUCUGAGUUCAGGACCCGCCUGGUCUACAGAGUGAGUUCCAGGUCAACCAGGGCUAUACAGAGAAACCUUAUCUCAAACCAACCAACAAAACCCACAGCAAACUGAAAACAGGUUAUCUUUUAAAAAGACAAUUUAGCCGGGCAGUGGUGGCGCAUGCCUUUAAUCCCAGCACUUGGGAGGCAGAGGCAGGCGGAUUUCUGAGUUUGAGGCCAGCCUGGUCUACAAAGUGAGUUCCAAGACAGCCGGGACUAUACAGAGAAACACUGUUUCGAAAAAACCAAAACAAAAAAGAUGACUUAGCCAGUUAUGGUGGCUCAUGCCUUUAAUCCCAGCACUUGCAAGGUAGACACAGGCAACGAGUUCAAGUCUAUCCAGGUCUAUAUAUUGAAUUCCAGGACACUCAGGGGUACAGAUUAGAGAGACUUCAUGUUUAACACACACACACACACACACACACCACUAUGUGAAUACAUAGAUUUAUGUGCAUUCUAUUCCAGAAAGCCUGUGGUGAUUAUAAAACAGUAAAAAUAGGUCACAGUAGAAAGGACCUUCAAGAUCCGCUUAGAACACUUACCUGUCACUUCUGUGUCACUUUACAUUUCUAUAAUUCAUCUUUUGAGGGAGGCUCAGAAUCGAUAUGAAAUGAUAUAUGUUUACCCCAAUCAGGCUCUCAUAUAUUCUAAGCUGGCCUUGAACUCCUGAUAUAGCAGAGGGUGGCCUUGAUCUGGGAGCAAAGGUGCUGUCAUUUCCAGCAGAGAAAUGAUAUCUAGACCAAAGACACAGCUUUUAUUAUAUAGCCAAUGCUUCUUUAAAUGCCUGGCAACCCUCCCUUCUGCAGUGCUUGAUGGUGUGUUACCGAAGGAGUUUUCCUAAACACCAGCACAAAUGAACGGGCACACAUCAAGCAUACAAGACCUGGAGGAGGGAGGGGGCCUUGCCGAUUCCUCAGAUGCAGUGAUGGAUGAGAAAAGUAAGGGUGGACCAGAGCAGCCACAGCAUUGAAAGUCUAUGGUUUCAUUUCACAGAAGUAGUUGUUCAGCUCUGUACUUGGUUUGCCAUUGGCAGUGUUGUAUAGAGAGGGCUGAGGCUCAAACCCAGGUCCUUACCACUAGGGCCUGUCAUUCUUAGCCUUCCAACCUUAAAAACAAACAAAACAACAACAACAACAACAACAAAACUUAUUUUGAUUUUCAUUUCAUUUCAUAUUGCACCCAGGAUCUAUUUUAAGAAAUCUUGUGUUAUAACCUGUGACCAAAAGUUAAGUAGCAGUUUUUCUAAUGUGUCUGCGUUUGCUAUAAAGAAUUGAAACUGAGCCAGGCAGUGUUGGUGCACGCCUUUACUCUCAGCACUUGGGAGGCAGAAGCAGAUGGAUUUCUGAGUUCAAGGCAAGCCUGGUCUACAGAGUGAGGACAGGACUGCCAGGGUUAUACAGAGAAACCCUAUCUCCAAAGGGGGUGGGGUGGGAGUGGGGGACAGUUUGAAACUGAGUAUUUUCAUUGUCUGGCACUUUAUAACAGGUCUUAUUUGGUAUUGACAUUGGUAUUUGGAAUGAGCAUUUGAAGGUUUUAAAAGCUUCGGUAUUUAUUUUGUUCUAAAAUAAAGUACUUUUUCCCUCUG
rnacentral:lncRNA from 1 species